AUUGAACGCUGGCGGCAGGCCUAACACAUGCAAGUCGAGCGGAGCGGCGGACGGGCGAGUAGUGCAUGGGAAUCUGCCUGGUAGUGGGGGAUAACGUGCGGAAACGGGCGCUAAUACCGUAUACCAUCACAUGAGACGAGGUCGGAAUAGCUAGUUGGUGGGGUAAAGGCGUACAAAGGCGACGAUCCGUAACUGGUCUGAGCGGAUGAGCAGUCACACUGUAACGGAGACACGGUCCAGACUCCUACGGGAGGCAGCAGUGGGGAAUAGUGGACAAUGGGCGAAAGCCUGAUCCAGCCAUGCCGCGUGUGUGAAGAAGGUCUUCGGAUUGUAAAGCACUUUAAGUUGGGAGGCGUUACCAACAGAAUAAGCACCGGCUAACUUCGUGCCAGCAGCCGCGGUAAUUC
rnacentral:rRNA from 1 species